rnacentral:rRNA from 1 species
CCCCGGUAAACGGCGGCCGUAACUAUAACGGUCCUAAGGUAGCGAAAUUCCUUGUCGGGUAAGUUCCGACCUGCACGAAUGGCGUAAUGAUGGCCAGGCUGUCUCCACCCGAGACUCAGUGAAAUUGAACUCGCUGUGAAGAUGCAGUGUACCCGCGGCAAGACGGAAAGACCCCGUGAACCUUUACUAUAGCUUGACACUGAACAUUGAGCCUUGAUGUGUAGGAUAGGUGGGAGGCUUUGAAGUGUGGACGCCAGUCUGCAUGGAGCCGACCUUGAAAUACCACCCUUUAAUGUUUGAUGUUCUAACGUGGACCCGUAAUCCGGGUUGCGGACAGUGUCUGGUGGGUAGUUUGACUGGGGCGGUCUCCUCCUAAAGAGUAACGGAGGAGCACGAAGGUUGGCUAAUCCUGGUCGGACAUCAGGAGGUUAGUGCAAUGG